UUAAGCGACUAAGCGUACACGGUGGAUGCCCUGGCAGUCAGAGGCGAUGAAGGACGUGCUAAUCUGCGAAAAGCGCCGGCGAGGUGAUAUGAACCUUUGACCCGGCGAUGUCCGAAUGGGGAAACCCAGUGUGAUUCGUCACACUAUCGUUAACUGAAUACAUAGGUUAACGAGGCGAACCGGGGGAACUGAAACAUCUAAGUACCCCGAGGAAAAGAAAUCAACCGAGAUUCCCCCAGUAGCGGCGAGCGAACGGGGAGCAGCCCAGAGUCUGAAUCAGCUUGUGUGUUAGUGGAACGGUCUGGAAAGUCCGGCGAUACAGGGUGAUAGCCCCGUACACGAAAGCACACAGGUUGUGAACUCGAAGAGUAGGGCGGGACACGUGGUAUCCUGUCUGAAUAUGGGGGGACCAUCCUCCAAGGCUAAAUACUCCUGACUGACCGAUAGUGAACCAGUACCGUGAGGGAAAGGCGAAAAGAACCCCGGCGAGGGGAGUGAAAAAGAACCUGAAACCGUGUACGUACAAGCAGUGGGAGCACCUUCGUGGUGUGACUGCGUACCUUUUGUAUAAUGGGUCAGCGACUUAUAUUCUGUAGCAAGGUUAACCGUAUAGGGGAGCCGAAGGGAAACCGAGUCUUAACUGGGCGUUAAGUUGCAGGGUAUAGACCCGAAACCCGGUGAUCUAGCCAUGGGCAGGUUGAAGGUUGGGUAACACUAACUGGAGGACCGAACCGACUAAUGUUGAAAAAUUAGCGGAUGACUUGUGGCUGGGGGUGAAAGGCCAAUCAAACCGGGAGAUAGCUGGUUCUCCCCGAAAGCUAUUUAGGUAGCGCCUCGUGAACUCAUCUUCGGGGGUAGAGCACUGUUUCGGCUAGGGGGCCAUCCCGGCUUACCAACCCGAUGCAAACUACGAAUACCGAAGAAUGUUAUCACGGGAGACACACGGCGGGUGCUAACGUCCGUCGUGAAGAGGGAAACAACCCAGACCGCCAGCUAAGGUCCCAAAGUCAUGGUUAAGUGGGAAACGAUGUGGGAAGGCACAGACAGCCAGGAUGUUGGCUUAGAAGCAGCCAUCAUUUAAAGAAAGCGUAAUAGCUCACUGGUCGAGUCGGCCUGCGCGGAAGAUGUAACGGGGCUAAACCAUGCACCGAAGCUGCGGCAGCGACGCUUAUGCGUUGUUGGGUAGGGGAGCGUUCUGUAAGCCGUUGAAGGUGUGCUGUGAGGCAUGCUGGAGGUAUCAGAAGUGCGAAUGCUGACAUAAGUAACGAUAAAGCGGGUGAAAAGCCCGCUCGCCGGAAGACCAAGGGUUCCUGUCCAACGUUAAUCGGGGCAGGGUGAGUCGACCCCUAAGGCGAGGCCGAAAGGCGUAGUCGAUGGGAAACAGGUUAAUAUUCCUGUACUUGGUGUUACUGCGAAGGGGGGACGGAGAAGGCUAUGUUAGCCGGGCGACGGUUGUCCCGGUUUAAGCAUGUAGGCGGAACGAUUAGGUAAAUCCGGUCGUUUAUUAACGCUGAGGUGUGAUGACGAGGCACUACGGUGCUGAAGUAACAAAUGCCCUGCUUCCAGGAAAAGCCUCUAAGCAUCAGGUAACAUCAAAUCGUACCCCAAACCGACACAGGUGGUCAGGUAGAGAAUACCAAGGCGCUUGAGAGAACUCGGGUGAAGGAACUAGGCAAAAUGGUGCCGUAACUUCGGGAGAAGGCACGCUGAUAUGUAGGUGAAGCCCCUGCGGGUGGAGCUGAAAUCAGUCGAAGAUACCAGCUGGCUGCAACUGUUUAUUAAAAACACAGCACUGUGCAAACACGAAAGUGGACGUAUACGGUGUGACGCCUGCCCGGUGCCGGAAGGUUAAUUGAUGGGGUUAGCGGCAACGCGAAGCUCUUGAUCGAAGCCCCGGUAAACGGCGGCCGUAACUAUAACGGUCCUAAGGUAGCGAAAUUCCUUGUCGGGUAAGUUCCGACCUGCACGAAUGGCGUAAUGAUGGCCAGGCUGUCUCCACCCGAGACUCAGUGAAAUUGAACUCGCUGUGAAGAUGCAGUGUACCCGCGGCAAGACGGAAAGACCCCGUGAACCUUUACUAUAGCUUGACACUGAACACUGGUCCUUGAUGUGUAGGAUAGGUGGGAGGCUUUGAAGCGUGGACGCCAGUCUGCGUGGAGCCAACCUUGAAAUACCACCCUUUAAUGGCUGGUGUUCUAACGUAGACCCGUAAUCCGGGUUGCGGACAGUGUCUGGUGGGUAGUUUGACUGGGGCGGUCUCCUCCCAAAGAGUAACGGAGGAGCACGAAGGUUAGCUAAUCCUGGUCGGACAUCAGGAGGUUAGUGCAAUGGCAUAAGCUAGCUUGACUGCGAGAGUGACGGCUCGAGCAGGUGCGAAAGCAGGUCAUAGUGAUCCGGUGGUUCUGAAUGGAAGGGCCAUCGCUCAACGGAUAAAAGGUACUCCGGGGAUAACAGGCUGAUACCGCCCAAGAGUUCAUAUCGACGGCGGUGUUUGGCACCUCGAUGUCGGCUCAUCACAUCCUGGGGCUGAAGUAGGUCCCAAGGGUAUGGCUGUUCGCCAUUUAAAGUGGUACGCGAGCUGGGUUUAGAACGUCGUGAGACAGUUCGGUCCCUAUCUGCCGUGGGCGCUGGAGAAUUGAGGGGGGCUGCUCCUAGUACGAGAGGACCGGAGUGGACGCAUCACUGGUGUUCGGGUUGUCAUGCCAAUGGCACUGCCCGGUAGCUAAAUGCGGAAAAGAUAAGUGCUGAAAGCAUCUAAGCACGAAACUUGCCCCGAGAUGAGUUCUCCCUGAGACUUUAAGUCUCCUGAAGGAACGUUGAAGACUACGACGUUGAUAGGUCGGGUGUGUAAGCGCAGCGAUGCGUUGAGCUAACCGAUACUAAUGAACCGUGAGGCUUAACCUU
rnacentral:rRNA from 1 species